rnacentral:lncRNA from 1 species
UUUAGUUCGCUCUAUUUUGUCUUAAUUGAAAUAGUAAUACGAAUAUAAUAGUAAUUAACUACCAUGGCGGAGGCACUUGCACAAAAAGUUAUUGCAAUGAAAUUGCCGGUGUAGGCUUCUGAGAUUAGAUGAGCAAUAACAACAAAUAGACAUGACAAGCCAUCUUGCAUAUUUCUAAUUAUAACACUAUCCCUUUCACUAUUCAUCAGUGACUCUGUGAGAUAGUCCAUCAUCGUAGAAUUCAGCCAAUUUUCCAUGAAGUUGUAGCUUAUUAACAAACCUGAAACGUAAAAUUACCCAAUU